AGCAGCCGCGGUAAUUCCAGCUCCAAUAGCGUAUAUUAAAGUUGUUGCAGUUAAAAAGCUCGUAGUUGAAUUUCGAGAUCAAAUUGUUGGUCGUGCCUUGGUACGCACUGGCAUUAUUGGUUUCUCCCUUCUGACGAACCAUGAUGUCAUUAAUUUGGUGUCUUGGGGAAUCAGGACUGUUACUUUGAAAAAUUAGAGUGUUUAAAGCAGGCUCACGCUUGAAUACAUUAGCAUGGAAUAAUGAAAUAGGACGUUUGAUUCUAUUUUGUUGGUUUCUAGGAUCGACGUAAUGAUUAAUAGGGAUAGUUGGGGGCAUUAGUAUUCAAUUGUCAGAGGUGAAAUUCUUGGAUUUAUUGAAGACUAACUACUGCGAAAGCAUUUGCCAAGGAUGUUUUCAUUAAUCAAGAACGAAAGUUAGGGGAUCGAAGACGAUCAGAUACCGUCGUAGUCUUAGCCAUAAACUAUGCCGACUAGGGA
rnacentral:misc_RNA from 1 species